rnacentral:tRNA from 1 species
GCCUAGCUGGCUCAGUCAGUAUAGCAUGGGGCUCUUGAUCUCAGGAUUGUAGGUUCAAGCCCCAUGCUGGGUA